GACGAACGCUGGCGGCGUGCCUAAUACAUGCAAGUUGAGCGCUGAAGGUUGGUACUUGUACCAACUGGAUGAGCAGCGAACGGGUGAGUAACGCGUGGGGAAUCUGCCUUUGAGCGGGGGACAACAUUUGGAAACGAAUGCUAAUACCGCAUAAAAACUUUAAACACAAGUUUUAAGUUUGAAAGUUGCUAUUGCAUCACUCAAAGAUGAUCCCGCGUUGUAUUAGCUAGUUGGGGAGGUAAAGGCUCACCAAGGCGAUGAUACAUAGCCGACCUGAGAGGGUGAUAGGCCACAUUGGGACUGGGACACGGCCCAACCCCCUACGGGAGGCAGCAGUAGGGAAUCUUCGGGGAUAGAAGAAAGUCUGAACGAUCAACGACGCGUGAGUGAAGAAGGUUUUCGGAUCGUAAAAAUCUGUUGGUAGAGAAGAACGUUGGUGAGAGUGGAAAGCGCAUCAAGUGACGGUAACUACCCAGAAAGGGACGGCUAACUACGUG
rnacentral:rRNA from 1 species